GACGAACCGUGCGAACGUUGUUCGGAAUCACUGGGCAUAAAGGGCGCGUAGGCGGCUUUUCAAGUCAGGGGUGAAAUCCGGCAGCUUAACUGUCGAAGUGCCCUUGAUACUGAUGAGCUCGAGGGAGGUAGGGGUAUGUGGAACUUCCGGUGGAGCGGUGAAAUGCGUAGAGAUCCGGAGGAACACCAAAGGCGAAGGCAGUGUCCUGGGGAGUACCUGACGCUCAGGUGCGAAAGCCAGGGGAGCGAACGGG
rnacentral:rRNA from 1 species